UAGAGAGGAUAAAAAUGCAAGCAUUCUGCUGAACAUUUUAUAGUCUACUGUAUGUAGUCUACUGUUUUUUAGGCUGAGUUGCGCGCAUACCCCACGUCAUAGUAAAGGAAAAGCAUAAUGAAGUCUCUCUCUCAUUGACUUCAGUGCGCAUGGUCAUUGCUUUUGUAUCAUUUAUGUCCGUCUGAGCAAGAUCAGCUGCACUUCAUGUAUUGCAGAAAUAAGUUUUACGGCGUUGAAGUAGGCUUUUUUCAAAGGAAUCAUCGGAUAAGGAAACAGAAUAUGUCGGUAAAUAAAGCUAAGAAAGUAAAAAUGGCUACCAAAUCGUGCCCUGAGUGCGACCAACAGAUUCCAGUUGCUUGCAAGUCUUGUCCCUGUGGCUAUGUAUUCAUUAGUCGAAAACUUCUAAAUGCCAAACUGGGUGAGAGAUCACCACCAGCAAUAGACAAGUUGGAUGCAAAGAGGAGGAGAACAGAAAGAAUUCGCAGAGAGAAGAUCAACUCUCCGUCAACCAAUGACAUGGAGAAUAGAAGGCGAUGCCGCUCUAACAGCCAAUCGGAUCAGAUCCGGAGAGGGCGGGGCAGGCCAAAGACAGUUGGGCUGAAGAAGCAGGAGGAGGAGAAAGAAAAAUUUGAGAAAGAAGUUGAUAUCUAUGCCAACCUCUCAGAUGAGAAAGCAUUUGUGUUUUCGGUGGCAUUGGCCGAGAUCAACCGAAAGAUCCUGGGCCAAAGACUGAUCCUAUAGACAGACCAGAUAGUUGCUGUGAGGGAUUGACAUGUGAAACCUAAGAUUGUUACUGUGGAGAGACCCAUGGAUGACCACCACAGUGUGUCUUAACAGGGUAUGAACUCUGACCCAAAGAACUCCCUGUCGGAUUGGUCGAAGCCGUGGGAAAAUGGAGAUGUUGGGGAACGUGGGGAAGCAGGCAACUGUUCUGCUCAAGAGGAAAUGUUGGAACCAACUUUUGUCUUUAGAGAGAAGCUUAUGGAAUUGGAGUGGCAGGCAGUGAGGGAUGGACUGGGCCCCUGAGACACCUGCUUGUAACCUGCCCAUUUCUCCUGGAGACAGCUGCUGCUGCCAUUUCUCCAGCUCUGCUCUGCCUCCCUCCACAGGGGAAAGGCCCUGCCAUUAACGAUUCAUCCGUCUGGAACACAUCCCAGUUUCCAUGGAACUCUCAACAGAUUUCAACCUCACAGGGUAAUCCUGUUGGAGACAUUUUCAACUGCCUGGCCUCUUCUUUGUUCACCCAACUGUAUUGUAUACAUGUAUGAAUGUACAGAAACAUGCUUACAUCAUAUCCUGGUUAUUCAUACAAUGAGUGAAACCUGAGAGGAAACACUGCUGGCAUUUUAAUAUGCGAUGCAGGGCUGUUAAUGAUGAGCUGUAAUGACGAGACUUUCUUUUUGGUUCGGAAAAGGAUUCUGUGUGUUGUAUUAUUGACACCUCAGUCCUUGCGAGAAACUGUGGCCAUUCAGUGAACUAGAAAGAGGCAGUGCUCAGCAUGCCCCUAUGGGAAAUACAUGUGAGUAAAAACAAAAGACAGUGCUGUUCCUAUAAGGGGGAAAGUAAUUCAUUAGAAUCUUAAGUGAAGUAAUGCAAAGGUUAUUUGAGAGUUGGAUUAAAGAACUUUGACCCUUAUAUUCCCUGAAAUUGACAGAACCCAGAUUAUGUUUCAUGAGAGUAGGGCAUUGGCAGUAUAUGGCUGUAAAUGAUCCAGGAUGCAUUUUUUUUAUGUCAUUGGGAUUAUGUGGAUUGGCUGCCGUAAAACGUAUUAAUUUCCUCCAAAUUGUCAGAGGAGACUUGGACACAACGAAGAAGGGAUUCAGGGUGAACCCGGGAUUUUCUUUCUUCUCAAAGCCAUCAUUUACAUAAAAUACUUGAGUAAAGCCUGCCUGUUGCAAUGCAAAACCACAGGAGAUGGGUGUCUACUUUCACAUUGGGCCUCUGUGUCGAAUACAUUCAAACACUGAAUAAUGCACAUCCGUCCACUAUCUACAAGCACAUUUGAAAAGAAAGGCAUGACGAUAUUAGUCAACCACUGCUCCAAAUACUGAAACUCAAUGUUAAUGAUCUUUUCUGAGAAAAUGUGUAUUUUCUGUGAAAUGUAGAACAUGACUGAUAUAAGAAUCGAUUGUUAAUGGAAAUCACUCAGGCAGUCAGACCUUAUUUGGAUCUUUUUAAGGGCAGAAGGAUAAAGGACGCUACCUGAUGAGCACAUUUCAGAAAUGACACACUGUUCUGUGAGAAAGUUUAAUGAUGACAGUAAGACUGUUUGCAGAUGGAUCAUAACUGCAUAUGGCUGGUAGUGGGGCUGAAAUGAACACGCUGAGGCCAGGCUGGGCAGGGCUGUUAAUGGUGAAAUGCCUGGCCCUAUUACCACAUGCCCCCAGGAACACUGAGAUCCCUGGCUUUAUAUCUAACAGGAAAUAGUGAAGUGAGCAAUAUUAAGCACCCAGGCCCAUAGACAGAAAGAUGGAGAGAGAGAAGAGGGGUGUAGAGAGAGAGAGAGAGACAUGUGCACACUAAAAGCCAGUUAUUCUUACUCAAACAAAGUUGCUGUUUGUUCAGUGUGGAGGGUUCCCCAAGUCACAUGACUCGCAUGUGGUCUCAUUAACCAGGGAGAGAGUUCUUUGUUCAGAUCUUGGCACAUGUAACCUGGCUACCUUCCAAUGUAACAUGAGAUACAGUAUAUUAUUAGCUUUAUAUUCUGAAGGAAUUUUGAGGACAAUUGUAUUAUUAUAAAAAUGAUUAAACAUACAGUAGCUAAUA